rnacentral:rRNA from 1 species
CGAACGCGAAAGGGGGAGCAAUCCCCCGAGUAGAGUGGCGAACGGGUGAGUAAUACAUCGGAACGUGUCCAGUAGCGGGGGAUAACCUCUCGAAAGAGAGGCUAAUACCGCAUACGACCUACGGGUGAAAGAGGGGGAUCGCAAGACCUCUCACUAUUGGAGCGGCCGAUGUCGGAUUAGCUAGUUGGCGGGGUAACGGCCCACCAAGGCGACGAUCCGUAGCUGGUCUGAGAGGACGGCCAGCCACACUGGAACUGAGACACGGUCCAGACUCCUACGGGAGGCAGCAGUGGGGAAUUUUGGACAAUGGGCGAAAGCCUGAUCCAGCCAUGCCGCGUGAGUGAAGAAGGCCUUCGGGUUGUAAAGCUCUUUCGGCUGGGACGAAAAGGUCCGUGCUAACACCACGGAUCCAUGACGGUACCAGCAGAAGAAGCACCGGCUAACUACGUGCCAGCAGCCGCGGUAAUACGUAGGGUGCAGGCGUUA